UCUUCAGUGCUCUUUCUCUAGGGAAAUAGACAAAAACAACCCCAAAAUAAUUCGUCUGCAGCCUAUUUGAGUUUCUUAGGGUAUCAACCAGUCUUUGGAGGUGCUCCUUUGCUACUUUGGAGAGAUUAAGAGUAGUGUUCCCAACAUGAUAUAUAUUGUGCUGUGAUCUGUUUCAUGUGCCUCAAAAGAUACAGCUGGAAAGUAGAUGGCUCAGAAAACUCAUCUGUGAGGCAAAGAUUCAGCUUUUCAGAGUGAAACUCCAGCAUCUCAAUUCAUCAAACACAUAUUUUGUGUAGGCCACCAUCAAAUUUUAGAUGGUUUGUGGCUGCAUUUUGGAUCUAUUUUGCCAUGACCAGUUACAUUGGAAUUCAGUUAGGAUUAGUCACACCACCUCUCCCAGUAGAAAAAUAGUCCUACUGAAACCUUUUACCAGCACUCUUCCAGUUCACACGAGCUACCUGACUGCAGAACUGUGACCUGUGUUUCUGUGAGCAAUACAUUUCUGGUUUGCUUUUGUUAGGCUUUUGAUUUUUUUUUGUUUGCAGGCAGAUGUUUAAGAGACAUCGAUGUGACAGCUUCCAAGUGAAAGAUAUUGUUGUUUUUUUUCCCCCUGUCCCUUGUAAAUGCCCUGCUCUCCCUGUUUAUUUGAAGGCAUGAGGCAAAUUUCAAAGGCACAGCCAGCAGGGAAAUGCUGCAUUUUUCAUCUGGGUGGUACAUAUAGAAAGUGAGAGACUGCUGAGUCAGGCACACUUGGCUGUUUGUUGCUGCCUAAAAUCAUUAGCAGUAUGAGAUUAUACAAAGCACCUGCUGAAAGUUCAGAAGAGCUUUUGUGCAACCUUGGAGAAUGUUAUUAAAGGUAGACUUGUAGUCUGUAUCCUACACAAAAAUAUAAACAGUUUCAUUUUCUGAGUGCUUUUAUGGCUUGACUAGCGAAGGUGGGAAGGUAGCAUGAUAUUCCAUGGCUUGCCAUGAGCCUUUCAGAUUGCCCAAUGUGAUCUUUGAAACACAUGGCGAAAAGGAGGAGAGGAAUCAUUCCUGUUGUUGUUACAUAGAGAGGCAGAGAGCAGUCACAUCCUUUAUUGCUUUAAAAUCCACUUUGUUCAUCUUGGUGGGUGUGGGAGGCAGUGUUCAACCAACACUACAGCUUUGAAGUGCUUUGCUGCCUGGGGUACUCAGAUGUGCUAUCCUGAGCAUCAAGGUCCUCUGUGUAAUGCAGGGGGGGAGCUGGGUGCAUGAAGAGUCACUGCUUUAAAAGCUUAAUUUCACCAGCAAGAAGCGUUGGACUGGAGGAUAUGGCUGAAGCCCUGCUCCUUUCAGAAGCAAAGUUACCAAGUUUUACUGCAGAAGAGCAUCUGUCUCCAGGCUGCUUUACUUCAGAAUACAACAGAAACAGCCAUCAGAUAUUUUUCCUAUUCUGAAACACUGGUUUUGCUACUCCAGGAAGACCUGUCCUCAACAGUUUCAGCUGUACACAGCAAGCAAAACUGAAUUUGACUCAGAACUGAGGAGGAUACCACAUUCUUG